GUGUUUUGAUGCCAGAGCUGACUGAUGGGUGUACAUGGCUCCUUUGUACGUUCUUCCUCUGAAAAAAAUAAACGUGUUUUGAUGCCAGAGCUGACUGAUGGGUGCACAUGGUUCCUUCGUAUGUUCUUCAUUUGAAAAAAUAAACUUGGUUUGAUGCCAGAGCUGAGUGAUGGGUGCACAUGGUUUCUUCGUAUGUUCUUCCAUUGAAAAAAUAAACGCUGGGGUCCUGACAACGCCCCCUCCACGACUCCAAGGACGAUGACAUCACCGAGACAUCACACAACAUUCCUGGACUUGACCUAUUGACAGCGGGACCUCCUGAUCCGGACGUCAUUCUAGACACGUGCAAAAGCUCCAAGCAGUCAUUGUCACCCCUUAGUCCUGACAAAGGCGGAGCUUCCGCCGCAACGUCGACCGUUCUUUCCAAAGUUUCAUAGUAUAUCGCCCGUUAACUUUUCACAUGUAAAUAAAUAACUUUCCCCCUUUUUCUUACUUCCUAUACCUUCGUUGUGUGCCUCCCGUUUUCUUUCAGCACAUAUUUAUAUAUAUUGUGAGGGAGAACCAUCGCCACGCUCAUCGCCAACGGCCAUUUAGCGCGAGCAAGGGUAUGAAGAUCGCGAGUUCACUUGCGGACUAAAGUGAGGCGCUGCGAGCCAUUCGCGUCAUCAAACGUCAUGAAAUGUCAAAAUUUUUACGUCGAAGCGCGAGUUCUCUGCCGAGAGCAUCCCAUUGGCUCCUGCGGCCGCUCCCCCAGUAUCCGAGCGCUCAUUGGUCGGUUUGGAAUUAUAACAUUUUCGUGGCGCGAGUAAGCCGGCACCGCCGGCUUACGCGCCGUAACGUUCGCCUAAA